rnacentral:piRNA from 1 species
AACGGUCACUUAGAAAAGAGGGU